rnacentral:rRNA from 1 species
GCCAGGUGGAUGACUAGGCUUCAGCGCUGAUGAAGGACGUGGCAAGCUGCGAUAAGCUCCGGCGAGCUGCAUGCAAGCAUUGAACCGGAGAUCUCUCAAUGGGAUUCCCAUCAGGCCGAUAGGCAGGGAACGUGGGGAAUUGAAACGUCUGAGUACCCACAGGAGAAGAAACCAAUUGGGAUGCGGUGAGUAAGGGCGACUGAAAACCGCGCAGGGCAAACUGAAUCCUUUGGUGAAAGCCAGGGGAGAUGUGGUGUUUUGGCUCAUCAUAACGUCCGUGCUUUCUGACACGAAGUUCCCUGGAACGGGAUGCUACAGAGGGUGAUAGCCCCGUAGUGGAAGGAAAGCGUGGAUGGGAUGCGGCCAGAGUAGGGCUCCUCGGAUAUGGGGCCUGAAUUUGGGGGGCAUCAACCUCCAACCCUAAAUACGACUGAAGACCGAUAGCGUACGAGUACCGUGAGGGAACGUUGAAAAGAACCCCCGCAAGGGAGUGA